GCAGGCAACAAAACAAGAGGAAAAGAAGGUCAAUGAAUAACAGGAAGGCAAGAAAUAUUCAAGUUCAAAUUGAAUAUAAAUAAACUAUAACCAGACUCAAGAGAGAGAGAGAGAGAUCAUGGCUUUUGUGCUACAAUCAAAGAGCAGAGUCACAAAAAAAAAAUUAUUUGUUUACUGAAGACAAGGUAGAUGUUUCUAGAGGAUAAUGUUUGUCUUACAACAACAGUCAAAUGGAUACCCAAAUAAAACAAGAA